AUCCUUCAGGGUCAAAGUGGAUCCUUCUCAAGGCAGAGGGACCAGGACUCAGCCGCAGUGGGUCCCCUGGGAGUUGCGUGACCUACGGUGGAGAUCACAUUCCCAAGAGCCCUUUCAGUGGCAGCGUGGCAGCCAUGCUGGACCUUAGCAAGGUCAAGGUGACAGGCCUGGGAGACAGAGGAAGGUGGAGGAGCAGCUCCAGCAGAGCAACACCAGAGGUGUGUGGAGAGGAC